CAACCUUUUAACCCCCUUGAUGCCAACAUUUUAGCUGAUUUUAAAAAAAUAUAUAUUUUUAAAAUGGAGGCUGUGGUGAAAGAAGAAGAAGAAGGGAGGUGGUGCCAGGCACAGUGUCUCCUCUGCCUCGCUCCGUGUUGACCCGACCCUGGACUCUCCUCCCACUACAUGGGCGAGGCUUGGAAGUUGCAGCACGUAACCACACUUGCUGAUUACUGUGUAAUGUCUGAAUCCAGGACCCGAGCUGACCCCGCAUGUUAGCCUUUGUUUGGCAGACGCCCCGGCCCCCUUUAAUCUGGCCAAGAGAUAAAUCCUUUGAUGGACCUGGCCCGACUCAGUUGAAAGUACUGCUCGACCAUCUCCAUAGAUCAACAUA